rnacentral:rRNA from 1 species
GACAGAGGGUGCAAACGUUGUUCGGAAUUACUGGGCGUAAAGCGCGUGUAGGCGGCCCGGAAAGUCGGAUGUGAAAGCCCUGGGCUUAACCCAGGAAGUGCAUUCGAAACUCCCGGGCUUGAGUUCUGGAGAGGAAGGCGGAAUUCUCGGUGUAGAGGUGAAAUUCGUAGAUAUCGAGAGGAACACCGGUGGCGAAGGCGGCGUUCUGGACUGCAACUGACACUGAGAAACGAAAGCCAGGGUAGCAAACGGG